GAUGAACGCUGGCGGCGUGCCCAAUACAUGCAAGUCGAGCGAACAGACGAGGAGCUUGCUCCUCUGACGUUAGCGGCGGACGGGUGAGUAACACGUGGAUAACCUACCUAUAAGACUGGGAUAACUUCGGGAAACCGGAGCUAAUACCGGAUAAUAUAUUGAACCGCAUGGUUCAAUAGUGAAAGACGGUUUUGCUGUCACUUAUAGAUGGAUCCGCGCCGCAUUAGCUAGUUGGUAAGGUAACGGCUUACCAAGGCGACGAUGCGUAGCCGACCUGAGAGGGUGAUCGGCCACACUGGAACUGAGACACGGUCCAGACUCCUACGGGAGGCAACAGUAGGGAAUCUUCCGCAAUGGGCGAAAGCCUGACGGAGCAACGCCGCGUGAGUGAUGAAGGUCUUCGGAUCGUAAAACUCUGUUAUUAGGGAAGAACAAAUGUGUAAGUAACUAUGCACGUCUUGACGGUACCUAAUCAGAAAGCCACGGCUAACUACGUG
rnacentral:rRNA from 1 species